CCCCUGGUGGUCCAGUGGCUAAGACUUUACACUCCUAAUGCAGGAGGCCUGGGUUCAAUCCCUGGUCAGGGAA
rfam:TPA: Bos taurus chromosome 13, whole genome shotgun sequence.